rnacentral:pre_miRNA from 1 species
UUGUAUGUAUGGUUCUAGUGUCCGGUUUGGUCUAGUAUACUACUACAAAACUGGACAAGCUCAUAGUGCCAUAAAGAGUAGUAACAUACUAACUAGACCAAACCGGACACUAGAACCAUACAUACAAUGU